GUAUAUGUAAUUUAAUUUUAACCUGUACAAAACACUUAGAUAAACGGCACCUUAUUAAUACACACAUCUUUAAAUGAUAUCCUUUCUUAUUCGCACUUUUGCAAUUUACAACACUUAUUCGGCAUUAUCUCGUUUGUAGAUUUGCAGUUUUAAUAAUAUUAAUAGCAGUAGAUACGAACACAUCAAGUAUCACAUACGUACUACUACAUACGCAUCGGGUACUCACGUACACGCUACAAACACACCGCCGCACUGUAGUCUGGAUCUCGAAAAGGGUGGCCAAAAAUCGAAAAAAUGAAAUUCAUCAUAAUGAGUUUAGUACCAUAGAAUCUUAUAGAAAGGGCCUUGCUGCAUGUUAUUCCAAAGGGGUAGUGAGAUAUCUUUUAUAUCUGAGACGCUACGUUAGUUCAAAGUGACCGUUCUCGGAACACCGUGAGUCACGCAUAGCGUCUCCGAAAUAUCACGGUUAUUUCAAGUGCGUGUAACUUUUUAUUCGAGUGUCCUUUCUCAAUUCUGCUUGAUGGAGGGUGUGACCUUGAAGGAAGGCCAUUAUGAACCAAUUCCGGAGAUUGCUGUUGAAGCAAAAGCAACAUCUUAACCACUACUGUAUGCAAGAUUCAUUAUUCCGUUCGUUAAUUAACCUUCGUUAAUCAUAAUCGAUCUUCCGCACAUUAUGUAUACUAGUCCAAGUGGGUAAUAGCUUACACAGCAGCCGUAAAUGUUCAUCCAUUUCAUUCGGCGUUAACUUUAUCCUGAAGGAGUUAUCUAAUCGUUGUACCACUGUCUCCAUUGGUAAGACGCCCUUUUUCUCCGACACGUAAAUAUUGCGGAGUAUUUUCGCCAGUUCUGGGAGCCUUGAAUAUAAUGUAGCCUCCUUGUCUGCGCUUGGUGUUCUCGUCAUUUCCUCUAACGCUUUAGCCGCCUGUCUCGCGCGUACCUAAAGUAUUACGAGUCAUGAAGAGACGUGAGAUAAAAGAUUAGAGAUUUGGGAAUUCCCUUGAAUGCUUUAGUGAGGUACAUGUCUUGAUGCACACUUGGUGUAAUCGGUGGGGUAUCAACAAUAGCGCUAUUAACAUUCGGGAUAUUAUUUUUUGUGGUUUGAAUCAUGGAAUCCUGUGUGGGAGAUGCAGAAGUCGACUUCGAAGUCAUCUUUGCCUCAGCCAGUCGCUGCAAUGCUUUCUCCAUACGAGAACCAGGGUUCAACAAAGAUUUAACUUUGUC